rnacentral:rRNA from 1 species
CAGCAGCCACGGGAAUACGGAGGGUGCAAGCGUUAUCCGGAUUCACUGGGUUUAAAGGGUGCGUAGGCGGGCAGGUAAGUCAGUGGUGAAAUCUUCGAGCUUAACUCGGAAACUGCCGUUGAUACUAUCUGUCUUGGAUAACGUUGAGGUGAGCGGAAUAUGUCAUGUAGCGGUGAAAUGCUUAGAUAUGACAUAGAACACCGAUUGCGAAGGCAGCUCACUAAACGCUCAUUGACGCUGAGGCACGAAAGCGUGGGGAUCAAACAGGAUUAGAUACCCCGGUAGUCCAUGUCUCUUAUAC